CAGACACAGCCACAGCCACAGCCUCCAUCUCAACCACGGCAACAAAAUGCCCAAGACCCUCUUACCCGGCUCAGUUCUAAGCACAAACUCCAGGAUUCCCAAAAGCCUGGCCCCCAGCUUGACUCCAUGGGGGCCCAUCAAACUAAAGGACAACCCAGCUGCUUUAAGGAUAAAGUCCAAGGAGGGCAGAAAAUCCCUCUAGACCCCGGUUUCAGGAAACCAGACCAGCCCUACCUCACUACACGCACCUCGAAGCCACGCUUCACGUCAAUGGAUUACAUACAGCAGUGGUGAUCCCCUGACAGACCCCAAGGCCCAACUGGCCAUCAGUAAACAACAGAUGAGCAACUCUACCUUCUCACCACCCAGCAAUGUCUGCACUCCAAAGGCCAUGCCCUUCUGGUCCAUUCCAGAACAGGAGGCUAGCCCAGAAUAAAAUGACGUUUCCUGCAGACUUGAAACUGGUCAGCUCUGUGAGACUGAGGGGAAAGAGGCAGGAAGACCCAGGAGGGGGGGAACACCCAUGAGGGGAUGGAGAGGGUGAGAGAAGAAAGUGGAAAGCAAUUGCAUGCUUCUCUAGGCAAAGCCAGUGGGAGAACUGGCCUUAUACUCCCAAGUCUCCAACUCCAGCCUUUUCUUUAAGGAAAAAAAAAAGGGUUUUUUGUGUGUUUUUUUCAGAGAGAGGAAGAGAGAAACAUCAGUGAGAAUCAUGAUAGACUGCUUCCUGUACGCCCCCUACUGGGGAUUGAGCAGGCAACCUGGGCACGUGCCCUGACCGGGAAUCAAACCGUGACCUCCUGGUUCACAGGUCAACGCUCAACCAUGGAGCCACACUGGCCGGGCUGGCCCUUUUCUUUAGCAAUGACAGUUCUGUUGGGGCUUCAGGUUUAUGACUCUCACAGGAGCCAUCACCCCUUCCUCCUAGCUGCUGCUUACUGAGAUACAGCUGGGGAAGGAGGGACUGCCGCUCACCAAGCAGGCCUGGGGCAGCAGUAGGAAGAGGUGGCAGACAGGGAAGGACCGCCCCAGCCCAGUGUAAUUCCUGGCCCACAGUGGGCACCAGCUGUUGAAUGGUUGAUGAGAAGCAGGAAGAGAGACAGAGCUCAGAGUGAAGGAGAGCUAUAGCCUCAGGUACAGGACACCGGGCCCUGGAAGGGGAGGGGGAUUAGCCUCUUCCUUCCUGGGUGUCAGCCUUUCCAAGGAGCAGAGACAGUCAAGAGGCCCCAAAGGCCCAGGAGUCCCCCUGACCACUUCCUAACGCUGACACCAGGGUCCUCCAGCCCGGCCCCCUUCCCCCAGGGACCAGUGAGGGGGAUGCCUGGGUCUUGUUGUGGCCCACACAGCAUCGCCUUUGGUCAGACUGACGGAGCCCCUCAGUGCAGUGUUUCUUGAGGGGAGCAGCUUGGGGGGGGCUUAGGGGGGACAAAGAAUAGGACUAAAGUUGGAAGGGGCCUUAGAGAUACACAGUGAGAAAGGGAGCGAGCCAUCUCUCAGAAGCCAGAGGCAGGACAUGGUGUCAGGGGCUCGGGGCCUGGGGAAGACACCUUGGCACUCCUGGGACAUCAACACCAGGCUGAGAUGGGGCAUGUUCACCAGCUCCCUUCCCGCUCACAGGAGACUUCUUCUUUAAACAUUAAGUAUAG